rnacentral:rRNA from 1 species
UGAGGAAUCUUGCGCAAUGGGCGAAAGCCUGACGCAGCGACGCCGCGUGGAGGAUGAAGGUCUUCGGAUCGUAAACUCCUGUCGAGCGGGACGAAUCCCGGGAGGGUGAACAAUCCUUCCGGUUGACGGUACCGCUGGAGGAAGCCCCGGCUAACUCCGUGCCAGCAGCCGCGGUAAUACGGAGGGGGCCAGCGUUGUUCGGAAUCAUUGGGCGUAAAGGGCGCGUAGGCGGCCGAGCAAGUCGGACGUGAAAUCCCCCGGCUCAACUGGGGAACUGCAUCCGAAACUGCCUGGCUUGAGUCCUGGAGAGGGUAGUGGAAUUCCCAGUGUAGCGGUGAAAUGCGUAGAUACUGGGAGGAACACCGGUGGCGAAGGCGGCUACCUGGACAGGUACUGACGCUGAGGCGCGAAAGCUAGGGGAGCAAACAG